rnacentral:rRNA from 1 species
GACGAACGCUGGCGGCGUGCCUAAUACAUGCAAGUCGAGCGAUGAAGCUUGGUGCUUGCACCAAUUUGAAGAGCAGCGAACGGGUGAGUAACGCGUGGGGAAUCUGCCUUUGAGCGGGGGACAACAUUUGGAAACGAAUGCUAAUACCGCAUAAUAACUUUAAACAUAAGUUUUAAGUGUGAAAGAUGCAAUUGCAUCACUCAAAGAUGAUCCCGCGUUGUAUUAGCUAGUUGGUGAGGUAAAGGCUCACCAAGGCGAUGAUACAUAGCCGGCCUGAGAGGGUGAUCAGCCACAUUGGGACUGAGACACGGCCCAAACUCCUACGGGAGGCAGCAGUAGGGAAUCUUCGGCAAUGGGCGAAAGUCUGACCGAGCAACGCCGCGUGAGUGAAGAAGGUUUUCGGGUCGUAAAACUCUGUUGGUAGGGAAGAACGUUGGUGAGAGUGGAAAGCUCAUCAAGUGACGGUAACUACCCAGAAAGGGACGGCUAACUACGUG